AGAGUUUGAUCAUGGCUCAGAUUGAACGCUGGCGGCAGGCCUAACACAUGCAAGUCGAACGGUAACAGGAAACAGCUUGCUGCUUCGCUGACGAGUGGCGGACGGGUGAGUAAUGUCUGGGAAACUGCCUGAUGGAGGGGGAUAACUACUGGAAACGGUAGCUAAUACCGCAUAACGUCGCAAGACCAAAGAGGGGGACCUUCGGGCCUCUUGCCAUCGGAUGUGCCCAGAUGGGAUUAGCUAGUAGGUGGGGUAACGGCUCACCUAGGCGACGAUCCCUAGCUGGUCUGAGAGGAUGACCAGCCACACUGGAACUGAGACACGGUCCAGACUCCUACGGGAGGCAGCAGUGGGGAAUAUUGCACAAUGGGCGCAAGCCUGAUGCAGCCAUGCCGCGUGUAUGAAGAAGGCCUUCGGGUUGUAAAGUACUUUCAGCGGGGAGGAAGGGAGUAAAGUUAAUACCUUUCUCAUUGACGUUACCCGCAGAAGAAGCACCGGCUAACUCCGUGCCAGCAGCCGCGGUAAUACGGAGGGUGCAAGCGUUAAUCGGAAUUACUGGGCGUAAAGCGCACGCAGGCGGUUUGUUAAGUCAGAUGUGAAAUCCCCGGGCUCAACCUGGGAACUGCAUCUGAUACUGGCAAGCUUGAGUCUCGUAGAGGGGGUAGAAUUCCAGGUGUAGCGGUGAAAUGCGUAGAGAUCUGGAGGAAUACCGGUGGCGAAGGCGGCCCCCUGGACGAAGACUGACGCUCAGGUGCGAAAGCGUGGGGAGCAAGCAGGAUUAGAUACCCUGGUAGUCCACGCCGUAAACGAUGUCGACUUGGAGGUUGUGCCCUUGAGGCGUGGCUUCCGGAGCUAACGCGUUAAGUCGACCGCCUGGGGAGUACGGCCGCAAGGUUAAAACUCAAAUGAAUUGACGGGGGCCCGCACAAGCGGUGGAGCAUGUGGUUUAAUUCGAUGCAACGCGAAGAACCUUACCUGGUCUUGACAUCCACAGAACUUAGAGAUAGAGGUGCCUUCGGGAACUGUGAGACAGGUGCUGCAUGGCUGUCGUCAGCUCGUGUUGUGAAAUGUUGGGUUAAGUCCCGCAACGAGCGCAACCCUUAUCCUUUGUUGCCAGCGGUCCGGCCGGGAACUCAAAGGAGACUGCCAGUGAUAAACUGGAGGAAGGUGGGGAUGACGUCAAGUCAUCAUGGCCCUUACGACCAGGGCUACACACGUGCUACAAUGGCGCAUACAAAGAGAAGCGACCUCGCGAGAGCAAGCGGACCUCAUAAAGUGCGUCGUAGUCCGGAUUGGAGUCUGCAACUCGACUCCAUGAAGUCGGAAUCGCUAGUAAUCGUGGAUCAGAAUGCCACGGUGAAUACGUUCCCGGGCCUUGUACACACCGCCCGUCACACCAUGGGAGUGGGUUGCAAAAGAAGUAGGUAGCUUAACCUUCGGGAGGGCGCUUACCACUUUGUGAUUCAUGACUGGGGUGAAGUCGUAACAAGGUAACCGUAGGGGAACCUGCGGUUGGAUCACCU
rnacentral:rRNA from 1 species